rnacentral:rRNA from 1 species
UACGUAGGUGGCAAGCGUUGUCCGGAAUUACUGGGCGUAAAGCGCACGUAGGCGGCUUUGUAAGUUAGAGGUGAAAGCCCGGAGCUCAACUCCGGAAUUGCCUUUAAGACUGCAUCGCUAGAAUUGUGGAGAGGUAAGUGGAAUUCCGAGUGUAGAGGUGAAAUUCGUAGAUAUUCGCAAGAACACCAGUGGCGAAGGCGGCUCACUGGUCCGGUACUGACGCUGAGGUGCGAAAGCGUGGGGAGCAAACAGG